GCCAACAUGAUGUAGUGGUUUGAGUGCUAGACUACAACUCUAGAGACCUGGGUUCGAUUCCCAGUUUGGCC